rnacentral:rRNA from 1 species
AACGAACGCUGGCGGCAUGCCUAACACAUGCAAGUCGAACGAGACCUUCGGGUCUAGUGGCGCACGGGUGCGUAACGCGUGGGAAUCUGCCCUUGGGUUCGGCAUAACAGUUGGAAACGACUGCUAAUACCGGAUGAUGACGUAAGUCCAAAGAUUUAUCGCCCAAGGAUGAGCCCGCGUAGGAUUAGCUAGUUGGUGAGGUAAAGGCUCACCAAGGCGACGAUCCUUAGCUGGUCUGAGAGGAUGAUCAGCCACACUGGGACUGAGACACGGCCCAGACUCCUACGGGAGGCAGCAGUGGGGAAUAUUGGACAAUGGGCGAAAGCCUGAUCCAGCAAUGCCGCGUGAGUGAUGAAGGCCUUAGGGUUGUAAAGCUCUUUUACCCGGGAUGAUAAUGACAGUACCGGGAGAAUAAGCUCCGGCUAACUCCGUG